rnacentral:lncRNA from 13 species
CCAGGUUCAAUUCAUUCUCCUGCAUCAGCCUCCCGAGUAGCUUGGAUUACAGGAGUCUGCCACCAUGUCCAGCUAAUUUUUGUGUUUUCCGUAGAGACAGGGUUUCGCCAUGUUGACCAGGCUAGUCUCGAACACCAGCCUCAAGUGAUCCUCUCACCUUGGCCUCCCAAAAUGCUGGGAUUACAGGCAUGAGUCACUGUGCUAAGCCAAACCCCUUAAACUUUAGUUCAUAGCUCUGUUUAGGUCAUAAUGGUGGAUUCUGACAUAUAGAAUUAGCAUGGACUAUGAACAUCUUUAAGGCCCUAGACAAUGUACUAUAACAAAUUUGUUUCUAGAAAAUCUGAGAGAAUUUAUAUAUUGCCAGUACUAAAUAUAGCUGUGCCUGUCAUCUGACAAUAAUAUUUGUUUGUUUAACCUCUGCCAAAUCAUCAGGAGAGACAUUUUUCUGGUAGUUUGCUAGUGUUCUCUCACCAAAUUACCACCAAUUUGAGGCAUAAAACAAUAUUCUUAUUAUUUCAGAGUUCUAUGGGUCAGACAUGCAGAGGACCUAGGAAUGAAUCCACUUCCAAGCUCAUUCAGGCUGUUGGAAGAAUUCAGUUCCAUGCAGUUGUAGGACUGAAGUCCAAGAUAACUCGCUGGCUGUCGGCUGUGGUUCGUUCUCAGCUUUCAGAAGCCAUUCAAAUGUUUUGGCUGGAACUCCUUUCUCCAUCUUCAAAGCUAGCAAAGACGCUGUUAGCUCGGGCAUAUUUUCCUGUGAAUAUAAAACCAAAAACAGCUUGAUUUUUGUUCUUCUAUAGGCAAUUUGGGUUUUGAGCCACUUUGAAGUUUCUAAAGGUGAAGUAUUUCAAGUAAUUAUUCUAUUGGAUACUGCCUCAUUUCCAAGGAAUUUGGAGAAAGGAAAUAGAUAUAAAAGUUAGGUCAAGGCAAAACUGAGGGUGUGACAAUAAAAUUAAGUCAGGAACUAUUAAAAGAAUGUAU